CCUACUUGCGAUCGAUGUCCGAAUUGUGUACGUUCAGCUCCCCGUCGUACCAGAAUCGAACGAUUCUGACUACCGCUGGCCGCGUGCCCACUCAUUGUGCAUAGGUUGGACGGCAGAUGAGAACCUGUCGGAAGACUUUCCUUCUAAUUAUGUUCUACCGUAGUACUCAGGCGUACAAGUGUACUAAUUUCCAUAAGGCCAUCUGCUACCCCUACGCAAGGUAAUCUAUCAUCCGCCCCAUUGCCGGGUGGAUCAGAAGCUACCUAUCCCAAGACUCUCCUUCAGGGGGUGUAACCUUGACUCUGUGCCAGGUUUGAGGAUGCCCUCCGUCGUCACUCCUUAUAACCAGUUACCCGCUCUCGGACUUGGUCGGUUCAUCGCACUUCCUACUGACGGGAUACCCAACAUUUGAAGAAAAUAUUUCCUUAUUUCAGCCCAUACCUAUGGGCAAACGUACAUGAAAUACUUAUUCCUAGCCGAUUGAGGCACGGUCGUCGGCGCCAUUAUGCCUCCUAGGCUCGCAAUAGGCCUAAAUAACCCAAAUUUCCCUCGCAUCUACCUACAAAUUCAGUCAACACUUUCAAACGCCGAGUUGGCAUUUUAACGUCAACUAUGACCUAUAGAACUCACGUCAACUCCGUCCGCCUUAAGCACCACAUCGCCACUUUACGAAUCUAUAGUGCUUCUUGAGGCUAACGCUUCCGUCGGACGAUUCGACGUUGACUGUAACUCCGAGCUUUCACACCCAUAGUUUGUCCUAAUCUAUGGGACCAUCAGGUGUGCCAUUUGCUACUUAUGAGCGACAAACGCUAUAUGCCGUUCGCCGGUUCGCUUUCGCAAUUCAUAAGGUGGACCCCUCAUGCGGCCGUUGCCACUUUGAGUUUCCUUAACUGCCCCCGGGCGUGUUCGCCUCCUUGUACACCAAAUUAAGCUACUAUGCGCUCCUUGGAAUGGGCCCGAAUUUAACGUCUACUUAAUGCCACUUUCGGCAUUCGGCGUUCCGUAGACACUUCCACGACGUACCAACAGCAGUCGAGCACGGCACUCCACAGCCGAAUUCACGGUAUUGCUCGCGUUGGGAACAACAGUCAAUGAUUGUCCAAGACGACUCCUGAGACUGUUCUGACGGUAGCAUUCUACACUCCUUCCACCCCUACUGCAGUUUAGUCGUGCCGGGAAUGCAGGCCCCGAUGUGUGCACAAUGUUACCCCCCAUGUCUCCCGGCGAUGGUGCGCUCACUACGGUUAGGGUUUUUGGAGAGAGUCAAGCCUGACCUCAGACGUUGGGCUGAGGUGCUUCGACCUAAGCGAUCAUUAGCGCGUAGUCGGUGCCGCGCCACUUAUGCAAGGGCCCGGAACAUGUGUGGCGGGCAGUUCGGUACCCUCGGCCCCCCAUGGACUUCACGCAUUGGCGCUCCUCGCGGGAUCCCAUUUUGACCACUGACCCCGAU
rnacentral:rRNA from 1 species